GUCAGGGGGUGUGGCAGGACCCCCAGAACCUCUAGUUCCAGCACCUGUGCCUGAAGAAAAAAGGACUUCAUUAUAUGCUGAGUGAAUCAACAUUAGCCAACUCCAAAAUUUACCUGUUUAACUUUAGAGUGACACAGAAGUGAAGUGAUAUGGAUGAGGAAUGAUACUGAGUGCAGAAAUGUCUGGACAUCCAAGAGGAAAUGUCACAAAGGGAGCUAGAGCUGUGCAACUGGAUGAAAUAGAAGCACUCAAGUAUGCAGUGGUACACUGGAGAAAGAUCACUAUAGAGAGCCGGAUCUCUGAAGCAAGCAAGAGAGAUUCCCUUAUGUCUGCAAAAGGUUCCCAGGCUUGCAGCUGGAAUCCUGCCCAUCGUAAUCAGGAGCCUGCUUCGUUCUCCUCCUUGUUCCCAAGUUACCAAAG